AAGUCGGAAUUGCUAGUAAUGGCAGGUCAGCAUACUGCCGUGAAUACGUUCCCGGGCCUUGUACACACCGCCCGUCACACCAUGAGAGUUAGGAAUACCCGAAGCCUGUGAGCUAACUUUUAGAGGCAGCAGUCGAAGGUAGAACUAAUGAUUGGGGUGAAGUCGUAACAAGGUAUC
rnacentral:rRNA from 1 species